UACGAAGGGGCUAGCGUUGUUCGGAUUUACUGGGCGUAAAGCGCACGUAGGCGGAUCGUUAAGUCAGGGGUGAAAUCCUGGGCUCAACCCCAGAACUGCCUUGAUACUGGCGAUCUCGAGUCCGGAAGAGGUGAGUGGAACUCCUAGUGUAGAGGUGGAAUUCGUAGAUAUUAGGAAGAACACCAGUGGCGAAGGCGGCUCACUGGUCCGGUACUGACGCUGAGGUGCGAAAGCG
rnacentral:rRNA from 1 species